AAAGCUUUAAGUUAAAAAAACUAUAAGCCUUCAAAGCUUAAAUUGCAUAAAGCAAGCUUUA
rnacentral:tRNA from 1 species